CACGGCGAGGACACGGGAGCAGGGCCGGGAGUGUGCUUCCUCGCCCCCGACAACCCUACGCAGCGGUAGUUUGCGUGUAAACCAAAUCAUGCCACUGUAUUGCUUAAAACACUCCGAAUGUCAGAAGACUUGCACCAGGCCAUCAUUUCUACAUGGCCUCCUGGGGAGGCCGGGCCAGAACAGGGAAGGCGUGUUCUGGGACAGAGACUCCGUCCGGCUGCCUCGGGCCCUCGAGGCUCUUCCAGGCCCAGCGCUCUGCGGCUCACGGAGGCCUCGGGACUCAGCCGGGUUCUCCUCCCUGAUGGCAACCUCAGACAUUAAACGCAUCCCGCCUGCUCUGCACAGCUCUUUGCGAUCUGUGAGUCUGCCUGCGUCCCUUUGGAAUCUCUUCAUAGCCCCUGCUUCUGUCCCCUUCAAAGGGGUAAGAGAUCCCUGAGCUUAUUAUGGGCCUAUAGAGUAGGACUUACUUUUCCGUAUCCCAAA